rnacentral:misc_RNA from 1 species
AAUUCUCAAUCUUACCAGCUUUUGUUGGAAAAGACUUGGAUGUGGGGGGGAAAUUUUUUGAAGGUUUCUCGCGGAACCUUCUCCCCUGAAAUGCAUUAGCUGGACGCUCGCGCGGACAGUCUAUUGGUGUGAUAAUUAUCUACGCCAUUAGCUGACUGCCAUUAGUAGCACCGCUUCUAACUGUCUUCGGACAAUAUAUGACA